CAUUUUGCCUUUAAGUAGUUUGUGACAAAUUUGUUCUCCAGUUUUUUGGGCAUAAGAUGUUUUAUGCUUUCCUUAUUGCAGAUCUGAGUUUAUAUUUCACUGCUUUGUAUUUUUCCAUGUCCCCACUCUUGAAUGCAGUAUUUUUCUUUCUCAAUUCAAUUAGAUUGCGUGAGAACCAGGGUUUAUUAUUGUUACCAAAUUACGCCACAGAUUUAAUAGGUAUACAGAUGUUCUUGCAAAAGUCCAUGUAUGAUGUCACUGUGUCUGUGUAUUCAUCCAGGUUUUCACAUGACUCAUUCAAAGCAGCCUCUUAGUGUUUCAGUUGUAUCAUUUGACCAGUUUUUAACAGUUUUGGUUGCAAGUAGGAACCAAGUGGAUCGAUGUGUGGUCGGAUGUUCCCAGGGGUGCUUUUGCAUACGUACGAUAGGCGGAUGUGAUUGUGUUGUAGCGUCACCAGUUGGUUUCCAGUUCAAAGCCCAGAGUUGCAGAUUAUGGUCGGUGCCACCUUUUCCGUUUGGAGUCAGGACCUUCCAGAUAAGGAGUGUGGGGUGUUGCCUUCCACGUUCUGGAAACAUGCCCCGCUACCUCAGACCGAAGCUAACGCUAGCUUACUGGGAACACAGAGCGCUAACAUGGCAGGUAUCGUUAUCAAGUAACAUUAAAUUUAGUGAAAUAUUGCAACAAUAGUCUGAUUCAGUGUGAGUCCCGGAGCCAGAACUGUCAAUCACAGCUGUCAAUCAACAACCACAUGGCGGACAUCAAAGCCACUAUUCAUCUUUAUACUGUAUCUUAUUAUAGCAGCAAUAAUUUCCAAAAUGACCACCAGCACACUUAUUAGAGGGCCAGAAUUUAGAGACUGAGACCAUAACCGCUUGAGAAGUUGAUGCUUUUUGAUUGGGAGUCUAUUGGAGCCAGCAUCUAGAGACCAUCAGUGUCGCACUUUAAGGGACUUCCACAUUGGCUUCAAUUUCAAGCCGUGGCUGUUGCAGUUGAGGAGGUCGGGUUCUCCGGCGCCCUCCUGGGGAGACUUUGGGCUUUGUCCUGCUGAAUGUCCAUGUCUGUUACAGACAAUUACAGAAGGUUCAUCCUCCGGAGAGCAGGAAUAUCCACAGUUAAAGGUUCUGAAGAAGGCAAAAUGUUGCCGAAAUGUCAGCUUAAGAAAUAAAAUCAGCGCUGCAGAACCGUCAAAGUGCUCCAGCCUCUAAACAUCAAGGUUUAUGUGCUUGUUCUCUACCAGUCUGAUAUGUUUUACUGUCUACCUGGAUGUGAUCUGAUUUGAUGGUAUACCUGCUCUACGGCACCUCUACAGCCUGUUUUUCACUCCACUUCACUUCCUCCUAAUGCAUCUGCACUCAGACUGCUUAACUCUGCACACACACACACACACACACACACACACACACACACACACACACAGUGGGUCAGAGUACACUGGGUGCCCUUGGCGAGACAGAUAAGCCGGCGUUAUGUGAUUACGCAGCUUGGCUAUUGUGCAACCCCAUGACUCAGUGCUCUGAUUGGAGGAGGCAAAGAGAGAGAGAGAGAGUUGUGUUUGUGUGUAUACUGUAUGUCCUCAUGGAUCAUUCUGUUUAAAGUAUAUUUCUUAUAUUCUGAUAUAUUAAUGCUUUGGCAAUAACUUCAUUGUUCAAUUGUUCCAAUAAUUCAUUGUUGGUUUGUUCUCUUUGCUUUUUAGUGAAAUUCUGGAUAAUUUGAACAUAUACUGAAAUUAAACCAUGUGUUUGAAGUUUAGAACUACUAACAACUAAGAGACAUCUGAAAAAUGACAAAGAUGACACAACUGCUUUUUUACAAGGGGUCACAAGCCAAAAACAUUGGAAAUUACUGGUUUAAUCUUUAACAAUGUGUUGUAAUUCAUAAGCUUAUUAUAUAGGUUUUAAUGCAAUGUCUUAUCUUGGAAAAUAACUGGUGACUUCACCUGUCAGAUAAAUGCAGUGGAGUAGAAGAAUAAAAGUAAAGCACAAGUACCACAAAAUUGUACUUAACCACAGAUUUGAGUAAAUUUACUUUCCACUGCUGAUGCAACAAGGUGUGAUGAGAUUUGCACACAAGUUUUCACAAAUGUUUCACAUGUAACAGCGGCGAGUUUCAAUCACUGUUUAUGCCUGCAGGAUUUUAACGUCUAGUCCAAAUCUCAAAGUCUAAAAGACACCAAAUGCUGACUGAAAUGUGAAUAAAAUAAUGCAAUAAAGUCAGUGUGAUGACGCACUGUAAAAAGAUAAUACAGCCUUACAGAUAAAAGAAAACAGGACGCACUGAGUUCAUCAGCGGGGUGUUGGCGCUGGUUGAAUCCUGACUAUAAAAAGAGAAAGAAAGCAGGACAGAGAGGAGGCGAGGUGAACAGAGAGACAGAGAGGAUUAGUGUUUUCAGCUUCAGAGGAGGAGGAGGAGGAGGAGGGAGGUUUUCCUCUCUGCUGUCAGCAUUAACCGCUCUGUAUUGUCACUCUGCUUGGCGACGAGCCGCAGUGUCAUCUCACUUCACAGAGGAGAUCAAGUGAUGACUCGGGUUAUGUAACCUCUGAUCUCAUCAGCGAGCGGCGUUUUUCACGGCGAGGACGAGGCCGAAUCAGCCGGCUGACUGCUGACUUGGCAGAGGAACCACAUGACCUCACUGCACACCAAGAGUUAGUUUCCAAACAUGUUGCUCGUUCAUCAGCCGCUGACACCCGAGGCAUCCAGACAGGAAACCUGCCCUCAUUCUGUUAAACAACAAUGUGAAGCUGCACAAGUCCAGACUUCAAACCAGGAAGAGUCUCAUUAACUUAACUGCUAUUUAAUGUUGCUGAAAACACAUCACAACAAUUAUUCUGACUUAAACUCCCAAUUUGUGUAAUUGGGACUUGUUGCUACACACAUUAGUCACCACUUGGCCUUUUCAAAGAGGAAGAUAAAGUGUUGCUAUCUGUUGAGACACCGCUAAGUGUUAAGGAUGUGGCAGAUGAAUGAUAACUAGUUGAUGAUGUGUCACAUUUGUUUACUAGAUGGUUGACUGCUACGUUGCUAGGGUGCUAGCAGUGUUUACUGGUGUGUUUAGUUUGCCGUUACCUGGUUUCUAUGGCUUUCAGGGUGAUUGACAGGAUGUUAGUUUGUGCACAGAACCAGGUGAAGCAGGCGAUUGGAGCACAGCAGAUGAGGUGAGAGCUGCUUGGUAGGAGGCCAAAAUGUUUGAGUCGCCCUGCCAAAACAAACCUCCUCCGUCUUCACUACAAUGAGGGCCGAGAGCCAAGAACAAAUAUGAAUGGUCUGUUCCUUGAAGAUCAGCAGAGGACAAUAAAAACCUCCUCGCUGGAACAUGGUGACUCAGAGCUCACUGAACUGGAAACCUGAGAAACUAUUUUAUCUGAGAAAGUGAAACUACAGCACAUGGAAACACUAAAUUAAUUCAUACAGAAUUCUUUAGACUUUCACUGAGUUCACAGUGAGUUUAACUGUGUGUUCAGACAGAAAGAAGCAAAUUUUCAUCUCACAUCGGUGACACAUAUUUGACCACUGGAUCGUUCGUGUUUAUUCACCCCAAACAGCCAAAAUACCAACUGUACUUUAGCUGUAAACUAGCUAGCACAGUGUUUCUGUGUGGUUGUGUUUUCUCUGAAGACACAGUAAAGGAUCAAAACAGUAACAACAGUAACAUUUGUGUGUCAUCUGCAUAGCUUUAAUAAGCAGUUUUAUAGUCUUGCAUGAUUUGGCCGAGAGGGGCCGUAUACAGAUUGAAUAAUAAAGGGCCUCCACAUGUCCUGGUGAUCCGCUCAUAUUUACACAUGACAACAACACAGCUCCUGUUUUCAAAUUAUGAGCUAAAGAUAUAUACUGAUAUAUAUAUCACAAACAUUAUGGGGAGACUUGGCAGAGAAAGCAGCUGACGAGAAACAUGCAAAGUGAGGAAAGUCAAGUCUAAAAGCCUCUAUAGCGCCACCUGGACGCUACGGCAUCCAUAACACCCGCUUAAACAAGAGUUCGUCUUCUUGGGAAUGUGAUCAAGACAUUUAAUUAUAUUAUUAUAAUCUGCCCAUUAGAUUUUAAUAUAAUUGGAACUAGAACAAAGGUCCUCUGAGUAAAUUUAAUUAAAAUCUGGCCAAUAGCUGUUGAGAUUAUGUUGGUUUACUUGUUUAACCUUAAAGCUAAACUAAAGCAGAUUAGACUCACUCAGUAUGAACAGUUCUUACUAUUUUUUCUGGUGAAACAAGUUAUUCAUUAAUUAAUAAACUAUUAUAUUACAUUUCUUCCUUGAAACGGUGUUUCGCAAAUGAACCUUUAACCGCCACCACGCAGCUUCUCGGGCCACCGACCCCAGUGACGAUGAGUUGUCGCCUCAUUGCAUGACAUCAGCGGUAAACACUGUUAUCAUGCCAAGAGCAAGGGGUUAUGGGUGAAUGCCCGCCGCGGGAAAGGCUUUCAUGUGUCACCAGAUUUCCAGAGAGCUGGGCCAGGCAAUUAUGUGUUAGUCACUGUUUUCCUAACUGUUGAACUGUACUCAGCAGUGAGCUAUUAAUAGGACAGAGGCAAUGAGACGAUGAGGAAACUGAAGGCAAAUUAAGGUGAUUCAUCAAGUGUUUCCACAUCACCAUUGAUCAGAUCACCAUUUAGAUAUCAUCAUAAACAAAUUAUGUCAUAGCUAAUCCGGCAGCUCAGAUUUUGGAGGGAAAUCCUGCAGACUGCUUUACAAGACAGAGCAGAGAGAGGGCGCUGUUUUACAUCUUUCAGACUUCCUGCUGAGGAUUCAGGAAGGUAAAUGCUAGGUUGGAUGGGACGGAGGGACGAACUCUCGCGAGGUUACGGUUUAGGUUAAAAUCUUGCCAGCGUGUCGCAAAUGAUCCCUCCAGCUCAUCCGAUCUAGCAGCAACCAGUCUGGAAGCACUGAAAGGUUGACGGUCAAAGAAACAACUUAUGUUCGUCAGGAAAUAACGGGGCUGAUGGGAAAUGUGGUCUUCAUCUGGAGAUACAAAAGAGCUGAUGUGAGAUAGAUGCAACUCUAUAGAGAGUCAAAGUGAAACCAGAACUUCCAGGUUCUCUUCCAGAAGUAAAAAAAAAUCUUCUGCUAAUAAAUAAAAACCUUGGAUCAGAACCUUUCUCAACAGUACAUCAUGUCACUUGCUUAUGUUUAGAUAAGAAUGGGAGGUUUUUUUAAAUACCAUUCAAUAUUUAUGUUUUUGAGCGGCCUGUGAUGAACAUUGUUUCCCAUAAGCGAUAGAUGCUCACAGGCUAAUGUUGCGUUGGAUGGUCGGGAAGGACCUGAGUGUUUACAUCAUCCGACAACUCAGGAAGGUUUUUUGAUAACUGAGUUGGUCGUAUGAGGGUUUAAAAUACUGAGCAUUGACAAAAAUAUUAUAUCCAAUAAAUUUGGGUUUAAUGAAGUUGACUGUGGUUGACGGGAGGCGUCCAUAUCUGAUGGGUUUUCAGGCACUUCCGUAUUAUUGAGCACCAAAUCGGAUAUAUCGGAGCUUUCAGGAGUUUCCCACUUAUAAUUAUAACUUGGAGGUUGAUGUGAACAAUAUUUACAAGUCAGAAACUUACAGUUACUCUGAUAUGACAUGAAUGUUUGCAAAACAUCAUGGCUCGACAGAGGAGACGAGUCCAUGAGCGAGCGCAGGGCGGCGGUGAGUUCAGUCGUGUCUGUAAUUACAGCAGGACUGUUAGACGUCUUUACACAGCUCAGAUUACAGAUACAAACAGCAACAGUGAUGCAGGAGGAAGCGUCGGGGAGUUUUAUAGAUAUGGACGAAACCAAGUUAUGGUGAUGUAAGUAUCUGCACUGCUGCAUUAGUAGUUCUUUUAAUGGGA